rnacentral:rRNA from 1 species
GUGACGUAGGUGUUAAACGGCCGCGGUAUUAUGACCGUGCAAAGGUAGCAUAAUCAUUAGUCUUUUAAUUGAGGACUGGUAUGAAGGGUUUGACGGAGAUUUUCUUUUUUAGGUGAUGUAAGUUGAAUUUUAAUUUAGUGUGAAGAUGCACUAAUGGAUUUAAAAGACGAGAAGACCCUAUUAAGCUUUAAAUGUAGUUAAGGUAGUAUGUGUUAGUUAUAUAUUAAUGAUUUUUUGUUGGGGCGACAGAUAUUUAAGUUUAAAACUUAUUUAUAUAUUUAGACAUUGGUGAGUGGAUUUUUAGAGAUGUUUGAUCCAUAUAAUAUAUGAUAAUAAGAUGAAGUUACUGUAGGGAUAACAGCGUAAUUAAAACGGAGAGUACAUAUUGAUGUUAUAGAUUGCGACCUCGAUGUUGAAUCAGGAUAUUUAUGAAGCUGCAGGAGGCUUAUAAAAUAGUCUGUUCGACUAUUAAAUUCCUACG